CGUAGGUAACCUGCCUGGUAGCGGGGGGUAACUAUUGGAAACGAUAGCUAAUACCGCAUAAUAUUAAUUAUUGCAUGAUAAUUGAUUGAAAGGUGCAAUUGCACCACUACCAGAUGGACCUGCGUUGUAUUAGCUAGUAGGUGAGGUAACGGCUCACCUAGGCGACGAUACAUAGCCGACCUGAGAGGGUGAUCGGCCACACUGGGACUGAGACACGGCCCAG
rnacentral:rRNA from 1 species